rnacentral:rRNA from 1 species
UCCGUAGGUGAACCUGCGGAAGGAUCAUUAUCGUAGGGCUUCGGCCCUGUCGAGAUAGAACCCUUGCCUUUUUGAGUACCUUUCGUUUCCUCGGCAGGCUCGCCUGCCAAUGGGGACCCCAAAAAACACUUUGCAGUACCUGUAAUAGUCUGAACAAACAAACAAAAAUUAAAACUUUCAACAACGGAUCUCUUGGUUCUGGCAUCGAUGAAGAACGCAGCGAAAUGCGAUAAGUAAUGUGAAUUGCAGAAUUCAGUGAAUCAUCGAAUCUUUGAACGCACAUUGCGCCCGCUAGUACUCUAGCGGGCAUGCCUGUUCGAGCGUCAUUUCAACCCUCAAGCCCUGCUUGGUGUUGGGGCCCUACGGCUGCCGUAGGCCCUGAAAAGAAGUGGCGGGCUCGCUACAACUCCGAGCGUAGUAAUCUUUUAUCUCGCUAGGGAAGUGUGGCGUGCUCCUGCCGUUAAAGACCCCAUCUUUAACAAGGUUGACCUCGGAUCAGGUAGGAAUACCCGCUGAACUUAA